rnacentral:rRNA from 1 species
GGACGGGUGAGUAAUGCUUAGGAAUCUGCCUAUUAGUGGGGGACAACAUUCCGAAAGGAAUGCUAAUACCGCAUACGCCCUACGGGGGAAAGCAGGGGAUCUUCGGACCUUGCGCUAAUAGAUGAGCCUAAGUCAGAUUAGCUAGUUGGUGGGGUAAAGGCCUACCAAGGCGACGAUCUGUAGCGGGUCUGAGAGGAUGAUCCGCCACACUGGGACUGAGACACGGCCCAGACUCCUACGGGAGGCAGCAGUGGGGAAUAUUGGACAAUGGGCGAAAGCCUGAUCCAGCCAUGCCGCGUGUGUGAAGAAGGCCUUUUGGUUGUAAAGCACUUUAAGCGAGGAGGAGGCUACUUAGAUUAAUACCCUAGGAUAGUGGACGUUACUCGCAGAAUAAGCACCGGCUAACUCUGUGCCAGCAGCCGCGGUAAUACAGAGGGUGCGAGCGUUAAUCGGAUUUACUGGGCGUAAAGCGUGCGUAGGCGGCUUUUUAAGUCGGAUGUGAAAUCCCUGAGCUUAACUUAGGAAUUGCAUUCGAUACUGGGAAGCUAGAGUAUGGGAGAGGAUGGUAGAAUUCCAGGUGUAGCGGUGAAAUGCGUAGAGAUCUGGAGGAAUACCGAUGGCGAAGGCAGCCAUCUGGCCUAAUACUGACGCUGAGGUACGAAAGCAUGGGGAGCAAACAGGAUUAGAUACCCUGGUAGUCCAUGCCGUAAACGAUGUCUACUAGCCGUUGGGGCCUUUGAGGCUUUAGUGGCGCAG